CAAGUUUCAUUUUUUAGUGGUUUUGUCCGAAUUAUUCAAGUCAAUACUCGAGACAAAAUAAAGUACACAAGUAAAAGCUGGCAUUCACACUCUGUUUAUGUUUUUUAUAUAGAAAACAAAAAAAGAGAGAAAAAUCUGGGAAAAUUAUAAGAUCGAUUUAGAGUAUCAAUUGAAUAAUUGCCUUGAUUAACACCAUUUGAUUUGGUUAAUUAACUCUACUAAUCAAAUCAAUCGAAU